CCAGCAAGGUUGAGCUCAGGCACUUUGGUGGCCUGGGGGGCUAAGGUUAUUCAAAUAAUCUUAGCCCCUCAGGUCACCAAAGUGCCUGAGCUCAAGCUUGGGCU
rnacentral:pre_miRNA from 1 species